ensembl:scaRNA
GGUCAGUGAUGAGAAGUAAAAGGUCUGACUGCACUGAGAAAUCAUGGUCCCUCUUACAGCCUUCACAACUCCCAGCAGCCCACCCAUCCUUUUGUACCCAGGCAAGCAUAAGGCAUGUUGUCCUUGGGAUGGUGGAGCAGCUGACAGUUUGGGAUGUGUCCAGUGUGUGCUUCCAAGAGGACAGAGGAAGGACAUGCUGGGCUGGUAUCCAACAGAACCUGUCCCAAGGAGUUGGGAGUGGAGUGCAGUAGGGACAUGGUAGUGCCUGAUCUCAAGUUUUCAAGCUGAGACC